CGACCAGCUCCUGAAGGAGAGAAGAGAAGUUUUAGGCAUGAAGUAUGGUGAAAGCACAGAGGAAGCAGGGACCAGCUUUGCUGAGAGGUAGGGGUAGGAGUCUUGGAGGAGGAGGUACUUGAUGUAACUGAGCUCUGAAGGAUGAAUAGGAGCUUGCCAAGCAUUCCAGUCAUAUGCAAAAGCAUGGAGGUGUGAAAGUGUGGCUUCCCUGGAGAACUGGUGGGGCAGGACUGGUGUGUGUUCUGUUAGUUAGGGUGAGCAGAGAAGGGCAAGACGGAAGAAAAAGAUGAAUCCAAUACAUGGUCUCACAAGGAGUACAGCGGGAGUUGAAGGAGAGAGAUUAUAUACAGGUCAGGGACUGUAAACCACAUCGUGUACUUCGCAAGCAUUAACAUUUAUUAAGCACUGACUCAUGCCAGGCAUACUUUAAUCUUCAUGGCGUCCCUGAGAUGUAGGUUCUAUUAGUCCUUUUUUACCAAAUGAAAUGGCUCAUAGAGGUGCAGUAGCUCUUCUGAGCACCAGGAUAUUUUAUACAUGGGGCCAUUACUUUAUCUUGUAUCAUAACCUACAUUUUAUCUUUUUGCUCUUCAAAGGAGGAAUAAGCAGAGCCUAUAAACAGAAUAAAUCCCCAGCAUCUUAUAGACUAGAGACCUCCAUAACCUUGACAGAGAGGCAGGGAAAAUGGCCUGGAGGCUGGGGUCCUAGGGAUAUCAUUGGGAGGGCCAGGGGCCACAGCUCCUUUUGGGGAAGGUCUUUCCACCCUGGCUGUACUGUGGGUGUCCCCACGCUUGGCCUCAGUUCCUUCCCUGCUUGAUAAGUAGGUCCAGUGUGGUGUAGAUUGUAAUGUGUACACAAAUAACCUGGAAGAUCUUGUCAAAAUGCAGAUUUGGCAUCAGUCCUUGGGGUGAUGCAUGAGAUUCUGCAUUUCUAACAAUCUCCCAGAUGCUGCUGGUGGGACACACUUUGAAUUGCCAAGGUGUUCGUAGACCAGUAUCCUGCGGGGUUGUUCUAAACAUUAAAACAGUUGACAUUUGCCCCCACCCAAAACCAGUCAAUCAACUGCCUUACUUUUCUGUGCCUCUAUUUCCUACCUAGGGUUUACAAUAUAUACUUACAUGUGUAUGCCUACAUACACACACUCUCUAAACUGUUAACAAUGGUCUUCUCUUGAUGGGGUAUUAUGUGGGUUUAUUUUCUAUGUUAACUAGUUCUAUAAUGUUGUAAUGUUUGCAUUAAAAACAACACCACCACCACCAUGGAUGUCCCUGUUUGGCAGGAGUAAGGUUGAGAGGCAGCCUCUAGUCUCUUUUUGUCCUUGCUCAGUUUGCAAAAGGCAGACAUGCAAUCCUUCUCUAUUGUAAGCUUUCUGUUUAGUUUGCUUCUGAUAAUUAAAUCUAAGUCAUUUGGAAAAAGAAAAAAGGUUAUGAAUUAUUUUUAUCAUCAGAAAACACAAGAUAAAACUAAAAAAAAAAAGCGUCUUUAUUUUUAUGAGGACUGAAUGAGCUGAAAAAUAUGUUAUGAGGAGGGUACUUCUUUAUUUUACAUUGGGGGAUACCAUACUGUGGCUCACAGCUAACAGCUGAAUUCAAACCUAGAUCUCUUCACCUCCAAAAAUCUGCUUUUAAUGAGGAUGCCAUAUUGCCUCCCUAUUAUAUACCAACUGGGGAAGUUCUUGGUAGCUCUGAUUCCUUUUGUGCUGGUGGUAGCAGCUGGUUGUUGGGAGUCAUAGACCUCAUCUAAGGCAAGAGGCCAACACAAAAACAUCAAGACAAAAAGGUGGGCAGACUACCCCUGGAAAGAAUCUUACACAUACAUGGGGCAUACUCAUAAGCAGAUGGCCUAUUUCAAGAACUGGGCUUCUGUUCCUUCAUCUGACACGUGAAGCUGGUAACACUAUUUCUCACUUUCUGGUUUACAAAGCACUUGGACAUCUAGUUUUCAUUUGAUCCUCAUGGCAAUCCUGAAAGUCAGCAGCAAGUAAAUAGGAACCUGCAGAUGCACCUGCGCAGAUGAGAAAACUAAGUUGCAAAGAUGUUCACCAACUUGUCAAAAAUGUGUGCAGGAGCCUUUCCCUUGCCUAUCUUUCUCAGAUUUUUUUGUGAGAACAGAGAAAGACGAGAGAAACAGAAGCACUUAAGGAAGCUUAGUGAUCAAUUCAAGGGGAAGGGAAAGUCUGUGGUGACCUAGAAAGAGGGUAGAUUCUGCUCAGACAGAGGUGAAUGUCAAUUCCAGCUCUACCACUUACUAGCUUGUGACCUUGGGCAAGUGGCUUAACAUUCAUGUGCCCUGUUUCCUUGUCUCUAAAGUGGAGUGGAAUGGGCCUUGGAAAGGCUUAAUGAGGAUUAGAAGAAGUAACAUAUAAAAUGCCAUCACAAUAACUAGCACAUAGUAGGUAGGUUCAUCAUUCAAGGUAAAAUGGCCUGGGUUCAAAUCCCAGCUCUGCCACUUAAAACUAACUAAAUAAUCUGGAGAAAUUAUUUUCUAUUCCUGUGCCUCAAUUUCCACACCUGUAAAAUGGGAAUAAAAAUAUCUACUAGUUGGGUUAAGGCAGUAAAUAAGGUAAUUCAAGGUAAUUCAUGUAAAAGUGCUGAGAACAGCAUUGGUACUUGGUAAAAGCUCAGUAAGUGUUUCAUUUUACAUUCAUCCCCCAUUUUCCAAACAAGGAAACCUCAGUAUAGAGAGGUUAGCUAAUUUGCCCCUGGUAAACAGCCAGUUAGUGACAGAGCUUCAAAUGAAAGUCUAACUCUAGAGUUCGUUAAACGAAACCCCAGGCCUUCUCAGCCCCUUCAUCUUUGUAUCUCCAUGGGCCUUGGAGUCAGACAAGUUCCACCUACUAGCUGUGUGAUCUUGGGAAGGCUUCUUAACCUCUUCAAGCCUCAGGUUCUUUUUAUAAAAAUAACUACAGUAUCUACCCUCAUAAGAUUGUGAGGAGUCAAAGGAAUAAUGUACAUACAACGUUUAGCACAAUGCCAACAGCAAGGACUCAGUAAAUGUUAGCUGUUGCUAUUAUUAUUACACUCUUUCUCUUGCUACUCACUUCUCAAGGCAGCAACUCACUUUUGCCCUCACCACUCAGCAGGGUCAUCAAUUACCUCCUUACUGUUAAAUCCAGUAGACAUGCUCGGUCCCCAUCCUAUUUGACUUCCCAGCAGUAUUCAACAUCCUUGAUCUGCUUUUCUUUGGGAAAUAGACUUUUCCCUUGCCACCCACUAGCUCUCUCUUCACUCCUUCUUAGUUUCUGCCAGUCUUAAAUGUUUUUCUAGGCUCCUUCUAGCCUCUCUCUAGACCAGAAUUGCUCAAUUUUGACACUAUUAACAUUUUGGGCUGAAUAAUUCUUUGUGGUGGGGCUGUCCUGUACAUUGUAGGAUGUUUAGCACACACUAUGUACUAAACACGUCAGUAGCAUUCUGCACCCCCCUCAGCCCCACCCAACUGUAACAACCAAAAAUGUCUCCAGACAUCACAAAUGUCCCCAUGGGGAACAAAAUUGCCCCUAGUUAAGUACCACUACCUUGAUUCAUUUCAUGGGCAUGGUCACCUGCUCUCUUGGCUCCAAUUACUAUCUUAAAGCUGAUGACUCCUAAUCGACACCUCCACACCACAGCUCUCUCCUGAACUUUGGAUCCACAUUCCCAGCUGCUGCCCUGACAUCUUCUCUGACAUGGCUGUCAGGGAAAAACAGCCAAACCGAAGUGUCCCUGAGGAAGAAAUUCUACCUGUGGACUGCAGCAUCCCCUCUGGCCUGGGAGUCGCAGACUGCUGGCCUACCCUACGGAUUCCAGGCCUGCCGAGCCAGUCUCCACAGAUGCAUGAGCCAAUUCUCUGCAAUAAAUCUCUUUCGGUAUA